rnacentral:ncRNA from 2 species
GUAAUAUGUUUUUAUCUAGGCACCCCAAGGGGUUUAAAAGGGAAGACGGAAGAGCCGUCGCGGUCCCGCCGCUGUAACCGGGGACGAACCCUGCGAUAAGCCACUGUCACACCUGAGUGGGAUGGGAAGGCGCAGGGAGUAGGUUGAUCCGGGAGCCAGAAGACCUGCCUGGAUUGAGGCUUGAGC